rnacentral:lncRNA from 1 species
UGUUCUCAACUAACUUGCCUGGUUAAAUAAAAAAGGUAAGAAAAAGAAGUAUCCUCUGCCUCUCCGGAGCUUUGCUGUAGUUAUCAGCACAACUGGCUAACAAAAGAAACAAUAUUACUACCAGAAAAAGCAACAAAGAAAGAGAUGUGAGGAAUGGGAGCGUAAGUGGAGAGAGGGUGAAUGAGAGGCGCGGAAGGGGCGUAAGUGGAGACGGGUGAAUGAGAGGGUGUGAAGACCGCAGAGGAGAAAGAUGGUGAGGAAGGGAGCGUAAGUGGAGACGAGGGUAAUGAAAGGGCGGAAGACAGAAAGAAGGAGAAAGAUGUGAGGAGGAAGGGAGCGUAAGUGGGACGAGAGGGCGGAAGACAGCAGAGGAAGAAAGAUGUGAGGGAAGGGGAGCGGUAAAGUGGAGAGAGGGCGGAAAGACAGAAAGAGAGAAGAAAGUGGAGAAGGGACGUAGUGGAGAGAGGCGUGAAUGAGAGGACGGAAGACAGAAAGAGGAGAAAGAUGUGAGGAACGGGA